CACGUAGGGCGCAAGCGUUGUCCGGAAUUAUUGGGCGUAAAGAGCUCGUAGGCGGCCUGUCGCGUCUGCUGUGAAAUCCCGGGGCUCAACCCCGGGCCUGCAGCCGAUACGGGCAGACUAGAGUUCGGCAGGGGAGACUGGAAUUCCUGGUGUAGCGGUGAAAUGCGCAGAUAUCAGGAGGAACACCGGUGGCGAAGGCGGGUCUCUGGGCCGAAACUGACGCUGAGGAGCGAAAGCGUGGGGAGCAAACAGG
rnacentral:rRNA from 1 species